rnacentral:rRNA from 1 species
GACGAAGGGGGCAAGCGUUGUUCGGAAUUACUGGGCGUAAAGAGCGCGUAGGCGGCUCGGUAAGUGUGAAGUGAAAUCUCUAGGGCUCAACCCAGAAACUGCUUUACAUACUGCCAAGCUGGAGUGAUGAAGAGGUUUGUGGAAUUCCUGGUGUAGCGGUGAAAUGCGUUGAUAUCAGGAGGAACACCCAUGGCGAAGGCAGCAAACUGGUCAUCAACUGACGCUGAGGCGCGAAAGCGUGGGUAGCAAACAGG